AUUGAACGCUGGCGGCAUGCCUUACACAUGCAAGUCGAACGGCAGCGCGGGAGCAAUCCUGGCGGCGAGUGGCGAACGGGUGAGUAAUAUAUCGGAACGUGCCCAGUAGUGGGGGAUAGCCCGGCGAAAGCCGGAUUAAUACCGCAUACGACCUACGGGUGAAAGGGGGGGAUCGCAAGACCUCUCGCUAUUGGAGCGGCCGAUUUCAGAUUAGGUAGUUGGUGGGGUAAAGGCCUACCAAGCCUGCGAUCUGUAGUUGGUCUGAGAGGACGACCAGCCACAGUGGGACUGAGACACGGCCCAGACUCCUACGGGAGGCAGCAGUGGGGAAUUUUGGACAAUGGGCGCAAGCCUGAUCCAGCAAUGCCGCGUGCAGGAAGAAGGCCUUCGGGUUGUAAACUGCUUUUGUCAGGGAAGAAAUCCUCUAGGCUAAUACCUUGGGGGGAUGACGGUACCUGAAGAAUAAGCACCGGCUAACUACGUGCCAGCCGCCGCAGUAAAAC
rnacentral:rRNA from 1 species